GGAGGUAUGGCUUAAGUGGUAGAGCAUCUGCUGUCAGAAAGCAAGCCAAGUGAGAAUAAAGCCCUGAGUUCAAACCCCAGUACCACCA
rnacentral:tRNA from 1 species